rnacentral:rRNA from 1 species
GUGGGGAAUAUUGGACAAUGGGCGAAAGCCUGAUCCAGCCAUGCCGCGUGUGUGAAGAAGGUCUUCGGAUUGUAAAGCACUUUAAGUUGGGAGGAAGGGUAGUAACCUAAUACGUUGCUACUUUGACGUUACCGACAGAAUAAGCACCGGCUAACUUCGUGCCAGCAGCCGCGGUAAUACAGAGGGUGCAAGCGUUAAUCGGAAUUACUGGGCGUAAAGCGCGCGUAGGUGGUUUUGUAAGUUGGAGGUGAAAUCCCCGGGCUCAACCUGGGAACUGCCUCCAAAACUGCAUGACUAGAGUACGGUAGAGGGUAGUGGAAUUUCCUGUGUAGCGGUGAAAUGCGUAGAUAUAGGAAGGAACACCAGUGGCGAAGGCGACCACCUGGACUGAUACUGACACUGAGGUGCGAAAGCGUGGGGAGCAAACAGGAUUAGAAACCCGGGUAGUCC